GGCCGCAGUAUUCUAACUGUGCAAAGGUAGCAUAAUCAUUAGUCUUUUAAUUGAAGGCUGGUAUGAAUGGUUGGACGAAAUAUUAACUGUUUCAUAAAAAUUUUUAAUAGAAUUUUAUUUUUUAGUUAAAAAGCUAAAAUUUAUUUAAAAGACGAGAAGACCCUAUAAAUCUUUAUAUUUAUAUUAUUUUAAAUUUUUUGAUUUAUUUAUUUAUUAUAAUUUAUAAUAUUUUAUUGGGGUGAUAUUAAAAUUUAAUAAACUUUUAUUAUAUUUUAACAUUAAUUUAUGAUUAUUUGAUCCGUUAUUAACGAUUAAAAAAUUAAGUUACUUUAGGGAUAACAGCGUAAUUUUUUUGGAGAGUUCUUAUCGAUAAAAAAGAUUGCGACCUCGAUGUUGGAUU
rnacentral:rRNA from 1 species